rnacentral:pre_miRNA from 1 species
AACCCGUAGAAUCGAACUUGUGUAAAGCUUGGUGACAAGACUUUUGGACACUCCACAAGUUUGUGUCUAUGGGUGUG